rnacentral:misc_RNA from 1 species
AAGUCGUAACAAGGUCUCCGUUGGUGAACCAGCGGAGGGAUCAUUACAGAGUUAUCAAAACUCCCAAACCCAUGUGAACAUACCUCGCGUUGCCUCGGCAGGUGGCGCCCCGCCCUGUGAGGGCCUACCCUGUAGGAGCUUACCCGGUGGUCGCCCCUGCCGACGGCCCACGAAACUCUGUUUUUUUAUAGCAUUAGACCUCUGAAAAGAUAACUAAAUAAGUUAAAA